rnacentral:rRNA from 1 species
GACAGAGGUGCCGAGCGUUAGGCGGAAUCACUGGGCUUAAAGCGUGUGUAGGCGGAUGCCUAAGUACCUUGUGAAAUCCCACGGCUUAACCGUGGAACUGCUUGGUAUACUGGGCGUCUUGAGCCACUUAGGGGCGACCGGAACAAACGGUGGAGCGGUGAAAUGCGUAGAUAUCGUUUGGAACGCCAAUGGUGAAAACAGGUCGCUGGGAGUGUGCUGACGCUGAGACACGAAAGCCAGGGGAGCGAACGGG